GCAAACUUGGUCAUUUAGAGGAAGUAAAAGUCGUAACAAGGUUUCCGUAGGUGAACCUGCGGAAGGAUCAUUAAAAAUGUCCCUGCCGAACCCAUAAGGCUCGGGGAUUACACCACUGACCCGCACGUCCCCGCCCCCGAACCCUCGGGGGGAGGGCGCGUGUAGAAGUCGCGGUUUAUGUGUCCACCCUCUGUGAAACUUAAAACCUUGCUUCGGCAGCACCUUUCGGGAAACCGUUGGGGUAAGGCUGCCCGAGGCACCAAACGAAACUAGUUGAUGAAAUGUCAUGCUGUCUGAUACACUGUAAAAUUUGAGAAAUCAAAUGUCGUUAAAACUUUCAGCAACGGAUCUCUUGGUUCCCGCAUCGAUGAAGAACGCAGC
rnacentral:misc_RNA from 1 species